UGAAUGGGACAGUUAUGACUGGACAUACAGUUCUCUAGCACAUACAGUCCUUCUACGUGCAUUCCUCCUCCUCCUGUUGCUGGUAAGACUCCCUUUGAACGCCAGCACAAAUCAGGAAACACCUCAGGAAGGGACGAAAGUGAUUUCAGUUCUAGUAGUGGACACAGUUUUGGGUCAAGAUCUUCAGGCCACUAAGGAGAUGACUCAGUGGAUUCUCUACUGGACAGUCUGGGAAAAUUGACAAAGAACAAAGCAGGCAGUAGAUAAGGAAAGCAUACAGGAAGCUGUAAGGACUACUGAGAGACUCCCAGACCAAGGGGACUGACUGGAAGAGGCAGAUACCAACUGAGCUGCUGGAAAGGACACCCUCCAACCUGUUGAGCCGCCUGCAGGCUGUGCAAUACGUUCCAGGUUCCCAGCUGUUGUGAGCUGUCACCCGUGCUGGGGUAGGCUUUGGUGAUACAGCUGUCUCAGAGUCAUUUCUGCUCCUCUUCACAAUGUGGUUCAUUCAUUUAUCUGCUUCAUCCAACUGAAUGAAGUGAUCACAGGACAGAUACAUUCAACCCAUGUGAGUUGCUCCUCUGAUAGGAACAAGCAUGUACAGACUAUUCAUGUGUGAUAGAUACAGCAACCAUCUCUGCCACAGCUGUGGUCCCCAUGAAAUCUCUGCCUGUUGGCACCAGUUAUAAUUCCUAGAUGGAAACCCUCAUUGGCCCCACUGCUGGUUGAGCACUUUGCUACCCCAGCUUCCGGGUGGCUCUCCUGGAUCUGUAAGCAAUAAAAUGGUUCGGUUACAUCAGGUAUCCUCUCAAGCCGUCUUCUCCAUGUCUCCUCCAGUCACCUCACCUGAACAUUUCUCCUUCUAGUCAGACCUCUCCUACUUCUUGGCUCAUGGACUGAAAACCAGAUUAGAAAUCAUGUUUGCAGAGUUCUCAAGAUAACCAAAGGCAAACAACAUACCGAGAAGCAUCUAUUUCUGAAAAACUAAAACUUUGAAUCAGAGAACAAAGAGUUGCAAGUUGCAGACUUUUUACGCCAUCACCUACUACCUUGGUCACUGACAAAGGCAGUUUUACCAGAGUCAGGUUUCCAGUGAAACAUAGAAGCAUGUCAACAAGAAGAGAGUUGACCUGAAUUGGAGUGAAAGUCAGCAACAGAAUCAGUUAAAGAUGGAAAUGACCUGGAGCUUUCCUAGUCCAGUGGAGGGGAGCCGAGGACCAGACAAGGUCAGUGAGCGCUACAGAAAGGCUGGCUCAGUUCCCUCAGCAGACCUGGCUGUCUGGGAAAGUAUACACACAAAUGGAAGAUCCACAGAAGCCCUACCCCAGAGAACAUGAUAGUAAAAGCAAUCUUGACCAAAUCCCGCAGCUCACAUACAAUCAAUUUGCUGAGAGUGAACAUCUUAAAAGUUCAAGGUUUUGCAAACAUCCUCUACCCAAAGGACUGGCUUGACCACUGAGCUAUGCAGACUAGGGGAACUCCCCCAGGAAGUUAGUAUUAAAAAUGGAAAUAAUAAAGGAAAGCAGGCUGCUCUUACAGAGGUGUCAGGUUCAGUUCCCAAAACCCACAUGGCAGCUCACAACCAUC